UAGAGGAGAGGUACGAUUUCAUGAGCUCCGUUCAUCUGAUGUUAAACUGUUUUAUAGGUGUUCAUUUCAUGUUUAAAUGAUCAACUGUGAAAAAGCAUUCCAUGUGAUGUUAUAUUUGACUAUUAGUUUUGAGUUCUUAAUCGGUUAAAUUAAGUUUAAGUGCUGUUAAUGGGUGAAUAGUAGUGAUGGAAAAAUGAAGCUUUGCGAAGCACCGAGGCUUCCCCUCAACUGUAUCGUAAAAAGGUUCAUUACUCGAAGCUUUUCAAGACCAUGCACACUAACGACAUCUUGUGGUCAAAAGGUGGAAAUAGCUGCCUUUGCGUCCCGGACGACCCAGCCAUUUUUGGAUUGUUUCAGAUAAUAAAUCAGUUUGUGCUAUGAAAAUAAAGCAAAGAAAGUAUUAACUCUAUAUAAAUUAAUCUUUUACAUGUCAGUCAUUGUUUUACACAAUAUAUGAAUAAAUGAGUCUGUGAAUAAAUUUAUGGAAAAAAAUAGGCAAGAAUGAUAUGCAUAAAUGAUCAAAAUAAAAAGAUUAUCGGAAUGGUCAGCUGAAGUGAUUGUGAAGCAGGAAUUAAUACAAAAUGAACAUGCACAAAACUACACAUGCAUAUAUUUAUUCGUAUAUUGAUUCAUUCUUAUAAAAGAAGUGAGUGACACUUCAAAUUGCGCAAGUGGUUCGCGUUAUUUGAAACAGAAUACGAAGUAGUCACGUGGUUGUGUGCGAAAACGAAGCUUCGGACGUCACAGAUCAAAUGGUUUUGGCAAAAUGAAUCAAGCUCCGGUACAGUGCUUCACUGCCAGAUGAUUCCUUUUUUUGAUACAGGCUUCGAAGCCUCGGUGUCGAACGUCACAUCACUAGUGAAUAGUAUAUUGCGUGAAAUGGCGUCCUGGUGUGUGCGUCAUGAGUGAGAGAUGUGUUAGCGGUUAAGCGGCUAACAUUUGAUUAAAUGUGCAAAAGUGAAAAGUCUGGCAGAUAACAGUGCUUGUCUGUUUGUGUGUUUUACCUUACAGGUGUGUCUCGUCUUCCUCCCUGAUUGUUCUGCCUUUAUAAGCCCCAGCCCUUCCAGUUAGUGUUUGUUGGUCCUUGAAUGUCUUCCAUGUGCUCUAUGUUCCCUAUUUUGGAUUUAUUAAAGAC